UUUUUUUUUUUUUUUUUUUUAAUGAGAUCAAUGCAUUUCCAGCAAGCAAUUUCCACCCCUACAUAUUUUCAUAAAGAGAUACUACUCUUUUACAGUGCUAGGUACCUACUCUGAGUUUUUAACCAAUAAAUACUUAGGGAUUUCAGGUGGGUGAAAAUAACCCAAACUUUUUGCCCAAGGCAUGGAAAGUACAGGCUGAAAGAGGGAGAAAGGAACCAAGGGUCGGUAAAUGUGUGUAGAAAAGCACUUUCUUUUCUGGUGAAUAGUUUGCCCAGGAAAAAAAUAUGCAUUUGAAAAUUUCUGCAAGAUCUAUCUCUUAAGAUCAGACAAUUAUUCAUCUCAUUCUUUAAAAACAAAUAAAAAAUAAAACCGUAAUCUCGAUGUUAAAAAUCCUCAUUUCAAAGUCCAUCCUACACACUCAUUGGAUAAACAAGCUCUAGGUUUGCGUGGGUUCCCGGGUAUUUAAAGCUUUUACAUUUAGCAUCACCCCUUUCAGAGGCACUGAGUCUGCCUGCCUUCUCCGCCCACAGACAGUCAGUCACGAUCGGCUCAAUUCCACCCUCGGCCCCCUCACGAUUCUACCACACAGGUCUCACAAGUUGAAAAUUAUUUUCUUAUGUUUGGUCUUCACAGCUACAUAGAACUACUUCAGGGCAUAGAGCAUAUUUUAUUCAUUUUUAUAUUUCCAAUUUCCCUAAAUAAUUUAUUCAUUCAUUAAAAGAAGCCUACUGAGCCUACUACGCGCCAGAGGCUUUAAUCAUUCAGCAGAAUGUACUGAACGGGCACAGUUCUAAUAAGCAACAGGAACGCAUCUGUGAACAAAGGAGAAGGCGAGUCCUGGCCUCAAGGAUCUUACUUCUGCUGGGGAAACAAGAGCCAACAGAUAUAAUACAGUUUCUCCAAAGGCAGUGAGUGCUAAGGAAAAAGGAAAAGCAGAGCAAUACAAGGAGGCUUCAGAGUAUGCUGCUGCAUUAAAAAGGUGGUCAAGAAAGGCCUCACUGAGAAACGACUCUUGAGCAAAGCCUUUGAGGAGGUGAGGGCAUUAGCCAAGAGCAUCAAGGGGAGCCUCUGGAGAAGGGCAUUACAGGCAGAGGGAACCACCAGGGCAAAGGCUGCUGUGGGUCACGGUUCAGAAGCCUUUCAGGAUCAGCAAAAAGGCCACAUGGGCUGGAAUGGGGAGGGGGGAAGAGGGGAGCAGAUGACUAAUAGUAAGGUCAGGGGUUAGAGAGGCCGCAUAAGCCACUGUAGGGGUGUUCUUACAACUGCCUAGCUCCCAAAGUAGACAAGAAGCAUACAUCCCAAAACAUGCACAAUCACAUAUAUAUCCAGCCACUACUAAAACUUUAAAACAGGACUUGCGGUGCUUCCCCUGCAUCCCAAUGGAUCAUUCUGCACAUCAUAUUCCUUGGAGAAGCAGCAGCCCACUCUGAAGACCACUACCCUAUGCUGUCAUAGCUCAGGCAGUAAACAACGUAUUCUCACAAUGACUAGGAGCAGCCAGAGGUCUGCUGAAUUCCUAAGCCCCUCAACACAGCCUGGGAUCCACCCUGAAAGCCUUACAGAAGAUCCCAGGUUGCAGGAGGGUUGAACUGGAAAUGUUUUGGGAUUUGUUUUGGUUUCUUCCCCUAGUCCAAGAGUUUCUUAAAACAACAAAUUCCACAAUUCAGUUCAGAAAUCAUCAACUCUCUCACUCGGAGUAUUUCAUACUUCCUACACCUUCAGAGACCUGGUACUGCCAAGGAUGGAAAUGGCCAGCAUUUCUAUACAGUUGCCCUUUAUUGGGUAUACAAUAGUUUUUCUUACAAUUGAGCUAUUUAAAACAAAACAAAAUCAAAAACCUCCUAUGAAUGUAUGUAGGGACUACUCUACUAAAUAAGAAAGUUUAGCAAAAGGAAACUUGCUAAAAUUUACUCUCCUUUUCCCCUCCUUAAAAAGGUGGGCCACAGAACUAAACCACCUGGCUUGGCACUCAGCCUCUUCAGAAGCUCUCCCAUGUACACCGCAAGAUGAAAUAAAACCUUGGGGAAAGGGGUCGUCCGAGCUAACUGUUGCUUUGAUUAAGAAGCCACGGCGCUCAGCACAGUCUCAGGACGAGCAGAGUCCUCUUCGCCAUUGUCCAUGUCUUCGAGGUCACUAUUUAAACACUAACUCAACUUACCUCAAUGACUUCUAAAAAGAAUCAAGCCAGAUUAUUAUGCUAUUACACAGAGGAGAAUCAUACUUCACCCCAUCCUCUCAAGGAGAUAAUCAUAAAAUUGCUCAAGUACUGGCAUGUGUUUUACCUCGUGUGGUUCAACCAUCAAAAUUAUGUCAUUAUUCCAGCAGAGCAAAAGUCAAUUGCGUGAACUAGCUAAUCCUCAUACAACCUCUUAUAAUUUUCAUCUCGUCUCUCAAUUCUUUUUUUCCUUUCCUUUUUUUUUUUUUUUUUUUGGCUAUAUUUUUAAGUUUAAGCUGGAGAAGAAAAGUCAUCCCUACCUGUAGAGAGGACCAUUUGGCUCUUAUUUCAGAUUUUUUAGGAAACUGCAAUGCCAAGAAAGGGUAAACAUUAGAGACAAUCUACUUUCCAGCUCUGAAUGACCACCCUAAGAUGCACCAAUCAUCCGACAGGGACACAAUGCACCAAAACAGAAAUGACAAAAGCUGAAGAACUUGAAAGCAGUUCUUUCCCUUAAAUGAAGCUUUUACAUCAAACAAAUCUAGGGAGCUCCCGUCGUGGCUCGUGGCUCGUGGCUCAGCAGUUAAUGAACCAACUAAGAUCCAUGAGGAUCCGAGAGUUCAGUCCCUGGCCUCACUCAGUGAGUUAAGGAUCUGACGUUGCUGUGAGCUAUGGUGUAGGUUGCAGAUGAGGCUCGGAUCCCGAGUUGCUGUGGCUGUGGUGUAGGCUGGCAGCUGCAGCUCCGAUUUGACCCCCAGCCUGGGAAUUUCUGUAUGCCGCAAGUGGGGCCCUAAAAAGACAAAAAAAAAAAGAAAAACAAAACAAAACCACACAACCUAAUCUAAACAAUUCCUGUGUAUUCUAGUCUUUUGACAAUGUGUCAAUCAAAGCUUUUAUUCCAUAGCCCUUAGCAAUUUUCCACAUUUAAUAUGACAAAGAAAACCAGUGCUAAUCUUCUACACGACUAAACCCAAACUUUGAAAUUACCAGUAAAAGUGACAUCAUUUAUAUCAUCUCUCUUAUUGAGAAGUAGAUUCUGUUUUUGAUAGUAAAAAGCAGCCCUGAAAGUCUGCAUGAAUUGAAGCUGUCAAUAAGUAGCCAGCUCCCUGUGCCCCUUCCCUGGUGUCUGGCUCAGGGAGGGUCAGCAAAAUAGGGGCCAAGGGUCAAAGGGUCCACUGCCUGCUUUAGCAUGGUCCGCAGUGAAAGAAUGGGUUCUCU
rnacentral:lncRNA from 1 species